rnacentral:lncRNA from 1 species
GGAAGGAAGGACUGCAAAGGGUCGUUGCGCUUUUACGCACGGAACGCAGUUAGGAAGUGGCAGGCUGGUUCGGGAGGGGACCAGUUUAUAAGACUUUUAGAUGGAUGAUUGCCGGGAAUCCUGGCCUGCAAUGUGGCCGGUUUGCAGGCUGCCGUUUACACUGGGUUGCUUUUCCUUCUGGAACAAACCCCGGCACGUUUUUGCAUGCAAAUCGGUGGCUAAGGCUGCAGCACUCCAGAUUUCGCUUUAGAUUAGAUGAUUGCAAGGAAUCCCGGCCUGCAAUGUGGCCGGCUUGCAGGCUGCCGUUUGCAUUGGGUUGCUUUUCCUAUUGGAACAAACCCCGGCGCGUUUUUGCAUGCAAAUCGGUGGCUAACGCUGCUUCGCUCCAGAUUUCGCUUUUUUAAACGGAUUCGUUUGUUGCUCUAGCCUCGGUGUGCUUUCGUGCGAGGGGCUCUUUUGGGUGGGUAGGGGCUGCAAAUCCCAAACAGCCGCUGUGGAAUCGUAGAGUUGGAAGAGGCUUAAUCUGACCACCCCGAGGCUUGAGCAACGCAACGCGUUGUGGCGGGUGGGGUGUUUUGUUAGCCAGCAUAAUUCAAAGAUAAAGUUCGAACAAUAUUUUGAACCUCCAGGCUAAGCAACAACCCUUCUCCCUGACACCUGUAAUUCUAGGUGAAGCAUCUUGCAUGUCCCUGUGGUCUGAAAUGGUACAGCCAAACACACGCUUAUCACUUGAAAGAGAGCGAGGUUUGGAAUAUGAAUAAAUCGCACUUCAAUAUACAUUUCGAGGCGAUUUACAACCAUACAAUAAAACACCUAAAGAUAAGUUUAGGAAUAAUACAAACAAACACCCGAGACAGAGACUUUCCUCCCCAAUCCUGCUGAAAAAGUUUGUCAGAAGAAAAUGGUUUUUAAUUUUUUUCCUGGAAAUUACAAAUAGGAGGCAGCUGUUGUGUUUCAACAGGUGUGCAGUUCCACAAAAGAUUCCCUUGGGGGUCCCUUUACAAAUAAGAUGUCAAGAAUCAUUAAAGAGACUAGGACUACUAAAGUACCUAAUUGAUUUUAAUGGCAUUCUCUUCAUCAGCAUUUGGGGAGUGGGAUAAUUACCUAGCAGAAGUCCCUUUUCCAACCACUUGAAAAGUUAGCUCAGGAAUCCCUAGCCGUCUCUUAAUACAAGUGUGCAGUGCCGUCUAGUGGACGCCUUGGGAUCAUGUCAGGCUGUCAACUUUAGAGCUGUGCGCAGGCAUACCUAAAAACAGGAAAGCUUUUGAGUUUUUUUCUGAUGCAGGGUGGAUAAGUUCUGCUCCUCUCUUCCCCUCAAGGAAAACACGCAGCCUCUAAAUCGUUUGCCUCUUCGCCCGUGUAACCCAUACUUCAGGUAGAAUACUUGACCCGUUUCUUUUCUCUAGUAGUGUUUUGUGUGUGGUCAUCUGGUCAGAUUUUAGCUCUUAAGGCUGGGCUUGAAAUUCUUGGAGAUCUUUGCAACGAAGCCAUGAUGCAUGGGUGGGGCUUCAAGGGUGGCAGCGAAACUGUCCCCAAAUCAAACACAUCUUGGUUUUCUUUUUAGCAAGGAGGGUAACUACUUAUUUGCAGCAUAGCCCUGAAACUUGCUGCAUGUCCCCUUUUUGGGGAGUUCUAGCAUCUGUGCAUCAAUAGAGUUAGAGUGCACUGAAAAAGAGAGCUAUAUAUGUUGUGUGUGUGUGUGUGUGUGUGAGAGAGAGAGAGAGAGAGAGAGAGAGAGAGAGAGUGUAUUUCUCAGAAAAAGGAUCUGUCUUUUGUUAAGCUGUACAGUUCCCUGCACAUUAAUGGUAAUAUAAAUACGUGUGUGUGUGUGUGUGUGUGUGUGUGUAUACUAAGAACUUAUGAUUAUUCAACAUGAUUCCUGGAAUGUCAGUAGACUGCAUUCUUGGAGGCAGCAUACCACAUGUAAAAGUCCAAAAACACCUACAUAAAAACCCCUCCAUCAACACUCCGAAGCAUUGCAAACUUAACAACAUUAAGUUUUAAAUGUUGCAAUGCAGCGUAAUUAACCCCUGUUCAGGAUUCUGCCAACCCAGUCCAUUCUUCCUCCACCCUCUGGUUUUCUGUUUCCCUCCCUCAACAGUCAGUCAACAUUCUGUGGCGACUGAGCUCAAUCCUCUUUCAAAUGGGUUUUUUAAGCAGUGGGAUGGGACUUAGUCACCCCCUCCUUUUUUUCAUUGCUAUGAGUUGGUGGGUGCCAGACUCUCCUAAAUUCCUGGGUCCAGUAGGUGUUAGAAUUCAGAAGGCUUGGGGAGUUAAACUGGAUGCUAGACCCAGCUUUCUGUGUUCAGGGAAAUGGGCCAUUAUGAGAACAAAGGAAAGGUAAUGAGCCACUGAGAAAUCAAAGACCCUGUGGCAGACGACAAAUCAACUCAGAAUUAGUUAGAAGACAAAGCCAGAGCUUGAAUUAAUGUAUUUAAGGUUGCAGGCUGGUAAAGGGCAGCAAGCCGGAAAGAGGGUCAGAACAAGAUGGUUGACUUAUAUCUGAAUCUAAGGACAAACUAUGGGACAAACAAGGCCAUUUUGGGUGUUGAUGCUGUCAACCCCUUCAUCAUGGGCUCAGGAUGUAUAUGUGUGUAUAUAAACCAUAUAUCAUAAAGACACCACAGUCUCUGCUUUGCCUCAUUUCCAAAAGGAAACAUAAACGAUGGGUAAGCACUUGGAACGCCUGGAAUCUUGCCCCACUCAGAUAUUGUGGUGGCGUGCAACACUAUUCUGAAAAUCUAGGGGUUUCCUUAAGCCACUUGAUACCUCCCUUUUUAUGGGUGGUCCCAUUAUGGAUCCAUAUAUUAUUAAGCAUGGCAUGAUGUUUUUCCUGCACUGGUUUUAUAUGAUGAAAACAUUUAGUAUCACCAGUGGUUAUUUCAACAUUACAACAUAAUUACAAUGUAAUGGGUUGGGUUUUUUUAAUGCCUCGAUUUUUAAUUUUUUAUUAUUUUUCAGGUUUAUACAUUUCACUAAUUUUACAAUCAUUCUGACAUUUCAAAACUUGACUUCCUUACCCCUCUUUCUGCAGUUCCUUAAAUUUAUUUUUAAUAUCUUCUGCAUUUCAAAAUUAACUGAUAUAACACAAAGGUUAUAUCAGUACAGAUGGUUGCACUUUUUGUGGAAAGAAACCUAGCCACAACCAGCUAGGUAGUUUCUUCUCGGUUAUUAGGGACAGAGCUGAUGUCUGCAACAGCCAGGAGGAGAACCCCCGUGUAAAGGGGGUGUGUGUGCCCCUGUAUUUCCAUUUUUUUAUUUGCUUUUAUGAAACUGGAAACUUAACGUAUUUACUAUUAUUUACCUUGCCUUUAUGCUUCUAAAAAACCUGAAGCCUCUUAGGAAUUCUAGGGGCCGAAAUCCCAAGGGAGCAGAAAAGACUAUUUAUGUAUGUGACCAUGGCUGCGCGGAUAUAAUUAGCUCAGAGACGGAAAUAAGAUAAAGUUGCUACCAAAGAAGAACGGCAGAUCAAGUUGAUGGAUUCUGCCGAAAUGGCUAGAAUGUCCGGAAGAAUUUGAAAUCAGGAAGACCAACAUUUUAAUAAGGAAUAGGGAAAAUUUAUAAUUUAUCUUAAAAACUAUUGUAAACAGUUAAAAUCGUUAGUAGGAUUGGAAUAUCACUUGUGGUUUAAUGGUAAAUUUUGAACACAGUGGAGAGGUAAAAGAUUUGGAUUAUUAUAAAAGAUGCAGAAGGAAAUGAUUCACAACAGGAGAAAAGGGAAGUCCAGAAGAUUCUUUGGAAUCUUGUUUUUAUGUUGUAUGUUCGAUAUGUGACAGUAAAAUUUUAAUCUGAAAAACCAAAUAAAUUUAUUUUU